rnacentral:rRNA from 1 species
CCUACGGGAGGCAGCAGUGGGGAAUAUUGCACAAUGGGGGAAACCCUGAUCCAGCGACGCCGCGUGAGUGAAGAAGUAAUUCGUUAUGUAAAGCUCUAUCAGCAGGGAGGAAAAUGACGGUACCUGAGUAAGAAGCCCCGGCUAACUACGUGCCAGCAGCCGCGGUAAUACGCAGGGGGCAAGCGUUAUCCGGAUUUAUGGGGUGUAAAGGGAGCGUAGACGGCAGUGCAAGUCUGGAGUGAAAGGCGGGGGCUCAACCCCGGGACUGCUCUGGAAACUGUACGGCUAGAGUGCAGGAGAGGUAGGUGGAAUGCCUAGUGUAGCGGUGAAAUGCGUAGAGAUUA